rnacentral:rRNA from 1 species
CACAUGCAAGUCGAACGGUAACGCGGAGAGCUUGCUCUCUGGCGACGAGUGGCGGACGGGUGAGGUAAUACUUGGGAAUCUGCCCAGUAGUGGGGGACAACAUUCGGAAACGGAUGCUAAUACCGCAUACGCACUACGGUGGAAAGUGGGGGAUCUUCGGACCUCACGCUAUUGGAUGAGCCUAAGUCGGAUUAGCUUGUUGGUGAGGUAAUGGCUCACCAAGGCGACGAUCCGUAGCUGGUCUGAGAGGACGAUCAGCCACACUGGGACUGAGACACGGCCCAGACUCCUACGGGAGGCAGCAGUGGGGAAUAUUGGACAAUGGGCGCAAGCCUGAUCCAGCAAUGCCGCGUGUGUGAAGAAGGCCUGCGGGUUGUAAAGCACUUUCAGUAGAGAAGAAAAGCCUAGGGUUAAUACCCCUGAGUCUUGACGUAACCUACAGAAGAAGCACCGGCUAACUCCGUG